rnacentral:lncRNA from 1 species
AUUUUAGAAAUAAUGGAGACCAAACAAGGGCUUAAUAUGCUUGCUGGAUCAGGCGCAACCUUAAGGAAGAGAUCGCAUUCAAAGGAAUAUCCACUUGACAAAGACCUUUCACCAAACGAGAAGAGGACCAUGGUUUCCAAAUAGAAUUUAAUAGAAGGGACCCAACGGUCGUAAAAUUUAUUUCAACCAUUGAAGCCCCGGGCCAACUAGCGGUCCAGUCUGGUUUAUACCUCUAGUAACCAAGGAAGCUUUGUCCAGUUAAAAUCUACAUACAGGGCACGACACAGCUAUUUCCAUCUGUAUUUACUAAACAAUAACGUAACCUUGCAAAUCAAACUUUCAGGGCAUAGAAGCCUUUACUCGGCAAGCAUUCCAAAGAUGACAAACUGAUUUCAAUGAAAAUGGAGAGUUUUUAUACUCCAAACGAGCGUCACAACAUAAUAUGAAACAUGAGUUUAGUCCAUUUAUUAGUGAACAAGGAAAAAGAUUUUCUAGACAAGUGUAGAUUGACCAUCAUUUGUACCAUACAGAAGAGUCAUGAUAAAAUCACGCCAGACCAAGACAAGUUGACAAUAUAACUAACAAUUCUGAGAAAUAUAUAAAGCAUCCACCAACAUCUUGUAUAAUUAUGGAAGACACCCUUAGUCUCACCUCACCUGAAUUAUGCUUUUGGACCAUCAGAAGCAGCUUCAACGAGCUUCGUAUUGGACAACUGCAGCAGAAAAUUUUAUUCGUAAGUAGUUGAUACUAUUACUACCAAAGAGAAUACUUAAGAAUAGUUGAAACAAUUGAAUGCACAAUCAACUAAAAUCACAUAAAGGGUGAACCAUAGUUUAACAUGCAACAAAGGUCGAACCAGUACAAAAAUAAUGUCCAAGCCUUGUAAAGCAAAGCAAUAUCUUUAUAAUUUUAACUAUUUCUCGAGCAGAAAAGUUCUAAGAUGAUUGCUAAUAUAUAACCCGCUUGAAAUAAUCUGCUAAUCCAAUCAGAGCAUCUUCAAGAGAUUGUCUAUUUAUAAAAUACAUUUUAUGCAUAAUAAAAACAUCUUAUUUUACGUUAUUUUUUUGUAUGUCAAUGUCCAAUCAAUUCAAAUGUAAUUUGAAUAAUUUAAAUCAUAGAAAAUUGAAAUUUGUAAUGUAUUGAAUGCAAUCAUUGGACAUUAAAGAAUAACCAAACCUACUCUCUAUUUUAAAAAAGACAUAAAGAGUCUUUUCGAGCUCAAUUUUAAGCAUUGGCUAUGUAAGAUAGAGAGUAUAUUGUGUUUAGAGAGUUUCUUGAAGAUGCUCUUAGGUUGUAAGCGAACCGACUCGGGUUGAGCUUUUGGUUGCCCAAGUUCCAUUAAGACCAUAAAAAAGUCCAAAGAAAUGCUCAAUCUUAUAUUCAAGUCAAGCUAGAACACACUUUUCACGAGCUGAAUUUGAGAUGAAAUUAAAAAUAUGACAAACUUCAAACUGAACGUUAGUGGAAUUCGCCUGCAUUAUCCUCCUUCAACUUAA